rnacentral:rRNA from 1 species
CCUACGGGAGGCAGCAGUGGGGAAUAUUGGACAAUGGGGGCAACCCUGAUCCAGCCAUGCCGCGUGUGUGAAGAAUGCCCUCGGGUUGUAAAGCACUUUCAGUGAGGAAGAACGCCUGGUGGUUAAUACCCAUCAGGAAAGACAUCACUCACAGAAGAAGCACCGGCUAACUCCGUGCCAGCAGCCGCGGUAAUACGGAGGGUGCGAGCGUUAAUCGGAAUUACUGGGCGUAAAGCGCGCGUAGGUGGCUUGAUAAGCCGGUUGUGAAAGCCCCGGGCUCAACCUGGGAACGGCAUCCGGAACUGUCAAGCUAGAGUGCAGGAGAGGAAGGUAGAAUUCCCGGUGUAGCGGUGAAAUGCGUAGAGAUCGGGAGGAAUACCAGUGGCGAAGGCGGCCUUCUGGACUGACACUGACACUGAGGUGCGAAAGCGUGGGUAGCAAACAGGAUUAGAUACCCUAGUAGUC